GGGUGAUUAGCUCAGUUGGUUAGAGCGCUUCUAUGACAUGGAAGAGGCCAGUGGUUCGAGUCCACUAUCACCCACCA
rnacentral:tRNA from 1 species